rnacentral:rRNA from 1 species
AUUGAACGCUGGCGGCAUGCCUUACACAUGCAAGUCGAACGGUAACAGGUCCUCGGAUGCUGACGAGUGGCGAACGGGUGAGUAAUACAUCGGAACGUGCCUAGUAGUGGGGGAUAACUACUCGAAAGAGUGGCUAAUACCGCAUGAGAUCUACGGAUGAAAGCAGGGGAUCGCAAGACCUUGUGCUACUAGAGCGGCCGAUGGCAGAUUAGGUAGUUGGUGGGAUAAAAGCUUACCAAGCCGACGAUCUGUAGCUGGUCUGAGAGGACGAUCAGCCACACUGGGACUGAGACACGGCCCAGACUCCUACGGGAGGCAGUAGUGGGGAAUUUUGGACAAUGGGCGCAAGCCUGAUCCAGCAAUGCCGCGUGCAGGAUGAAGGCCUUCGGGUUGUAAACUGCUUUUGUACGGAACGAAAAGCCCCGGGUUAAUACCCUGGGGUCAUGACGGUACCGUAAGAAUAAGCACCGGCUAACUACGUGCCAGCAGCCGCCGUAA